AGAGUUUGAUUCUGGCUCAGGAUGAACGCUGGCGGCAUGCCUAACACAUGCAAGUCGAACGGGGUUUAUAUAACAGAACUCUCCGGAGGGAAGAUAUAUAAACCUAGUGGCGGACGGGUGAGUAACGCGUGGGCAACCUGCCCUGUACCGGGGGACAACAGCCAGAAAUGGCUGCUAAUACCGCAUAAGCCUGCUGUGCCGCAUGGCACAGCAGGGAAAACCACGGUGGUACAGGAUGGGCCCGCGUCUGAUUAGUUAGUUGGCAGGGUAACGGCCUACCAAGACAACGAUCAGUAGCCGGCUUGAGAGAGUGGACGGCCACAUUGGGACUGAGACACGGCCCAGACUCCUGCGGGAGGCAGCAGUGGGGAAUAUUGCACAAUGGGGGGAACCCUGAUGCAGCAAUGCCGCGUGGGUGAAGAAGCACUCCGGUGCGUAAAGCCCUGUCAGCAGGGAAGAAAAUGACAGUACCUGGACAAGAAGCCCCGGCUAACUACGUGCCAGCAGCCGCGGUAAUACGUAGGGGGCAAGCGUUAUUCGGAUUUACUGGGUGUA
rnacentral:rRNA from 1 species